AGCAGCCGCGGUAAUACGGGGGAUGCAAGCGUUAUCCGGAAUCAUUGGGCGUAAAGCGCCUGUAGGUUGUUUAAUAAGUCUGUUGUUAAAGACUAGGGCUUAACCCUAGAAAAGCAAUGGAAACUACUAGACUAGAGUAUGGUAGGGGUAGAGGGAAUUUCUAGUGUAGCGGUGAAAUGCGUAGAUAUUAGAAAGAACACCGGUGGCGAAAGCGCUCUACUGGACCAUUACUGACACUCAGAGGCGAAAGCUAGGGUAGCAAAAGGGAUUAGAUACCCCUGUAGUCCUAGCCGUAAACGAUGGAUACUACAUGUUGUGCAUUAUGUACAGUAUGGUAGCUAACGCGUUAAGUAUCCCGCCUGGGGAGUACGCUCGCAAGGGUGAAACUCAAAGGAAUUGACGGGGGCCCGCACAAGCGGUGGAGCAUGUGGUUUAAUUCGAUGCAACGCGAAGAACCUUACCAGGACUUGACAUACUACAAAUUCUUUUGAGAAAAAGAAGUGCCUUCGGGAAUGUAGAUACAGGUGGUGCAUGGCUGUCGUCAGCUCGUGUCGUGAGAUGUUGGGUUAAGUCCCGCAACGAGCGCAACCCUUAUUUUUAGUUACCAAUUCGUUGGGUUCUCUAGAAAGACUGCCGGUGACAAACCGGAGGAAGGUGAGGAUGACGUCAAAUCAGCAUGCCCCUUAUGUCCUGGGCUACACACGUGCUACAAUGGUUAAGACAAAGAGUCGCGAGCUCGUGAGAGUCAGCUAAUCUCAUAAACUUAGCCCAAGUUCAGAUUGUAGGCUGCAACUCGCCUACAUGAAGUUGGAAUCGCUAGUAAUCGCUGGUCAGCCAUACAGCGGUGAAUCCGUUCCCGGGCCUUGUACACACCGCCCGUCACACCAUGGGAGCUGGUCAUACCCGAAACCGUUUGCUUAACCGUUUGGAGAGCGACGUCUAAGGUAGGGCUAGUGACUGGGGUGAAGUCGUAACAAGGUAGCCG
rnacentral:rRNA from 1 species